rnacentral:lncRNA from 1 species
GAAACCUUCAGGAUUCGCGAAACAAAGAGGAUACAGAGAGACGGAUAUUUACAGACGAAUAUUUACAGAUAAUAUUAAUAGAUGAUAUUCAUAUAUAUACUUACAUAGAGACAGAGCCGACCAACGGAAGGAAAGCGUUUUGGUGUUUUUUGCCGGUCCUCUCCUCGUGAUGCGCCAAGACGAAACAAGGGAAGCACAGCCGUUUAGAUUUUGGAAAGAAGACUCACAGCGAUUUCGACAACCAGGGAAAGCUGAGAAAUUGCGACGUUAGUGUUGUAUAUGUAUACAUGAUUUCGGAGGAGAGUCCUGUUCCGUGCAGGUCCGCCCGAGGCGUGUGAUCCCCAGAACGACGCGUACGCGUGAGGAGCCGAUGGACGAUGGUGAUUCUUUUCAUUUCUUCCGAAAUCUAUUCAUCUUUUCGCGAACCCUCGCAAGAGUCGCCUUAAGGUGUUCAGCGAUGGAACGGUGAAUGCACUCCACCAUGGUAAUGGAAUACACGCGCGUGUUGUCACCUGCCGUAUGAAGGCGAGACUCACGCGCUUUUUGCGAGGCAAAACCGAACUGUGCUCCGUACCGGAGGAAGAAUCUCACUUUCGGAUUUUCCUAGGAACUUGCUAAACUGCAAAGACUCUCGUCUGUCGCAGGAGCACAAAGCGUUAACAGUCACCUAGAUGAAGUCACUCAAAUCGGUGUUGUGUUGGGCAGUUCACGACAGGGAAGAUUCCUGGGAUCAGGUGUGGUACGAGAAUGGAGAAGUGAAGGGAAAGGGGAGACAAAGGAGUGAUCAUGGAACGGGUGCUGCGCCGGCGGAAAAACGUUGCGCAAAGGCUAGAAAUGAAUAUCCGUGGACACAACGCAUUCGAGCGGAUUGGACUACGGAUCUCUGAAGUGAUUCUUCGGGGGAAAUCCCUCUCUAGCGUUUGGCCUCGAUUUCUUCGCAAAGUGCACCUACAAGAGUGCCAGGCUCUCUGCAAGCUUUCCGGAGGAUAUUCCAACUACUUAACAGAUUGGCGUGUGAAAUUCGGGUUCAUGGCUCUUCAGCAAACCGUCUGAGGUUUUUGAAAGUCUCCGUGUCCUGCACAGCAUUCUCCACUUAAACCCUCCCCUUUCACGUCGAUCGAUGAAUAGCCAUUUUCCGAAUGUCUUUGCCGAAACUCUCCGAUACUUUUUCCGACGGAACACAGGAAUUUCGCCGUCUUCAGAUCGCCAUCCUCUUGCACGCACAAACUGUCGAUUUUUCUUCUGUUCAAGCAGGCGCUAAAGUCUUCUACACUGCUUCUAGAUCCCAAUUUCAGCUCUGGGAAAUGGGGGUUCCUGAAACGAACAAGAGAAAGUGUUUGAGGCGGCAAGGCAGAAGGGGGAAACGUGCACGAGGACCGGGAACCGGAAUGCAGCGCAGGACGCCAAACGAACAACGACACCCCAAGAAGAAACGGAAUACACAAUCCAUAAGUCCGUCGAACAUUAGAGUCCGAUGCUGCGAUUUCUUUCCCCUACGAAGAAAUGGUCUCGAGGGACGGCCUUCCGCAGGACAACCUUGCAGAGAGACGUAACAGCAGUUGCUUACUACAUACCCAAAUACGAACUGCUCCACUGACUACCUCUCUAGUCACAAGUUGUUGCUUUCUCUAGAAUCGACGCUUUGCGUUCUCAAGAAAGAACCCGUCUGCGCCAUUCUGUGGACACUCCCUACGUGUUUGUAGGCAGUGCAGAGCUAUUCCACGGUAGCGGCUUUCUUCGUCGCUCGAAAAGGCACCUCGUCAGAGAAACAUGGCUUCUGCUCCAGUUGCAAAAAGAAGAACUGGACAUGCGGCCUUCGAUCAGUUCGUUCUCCUGCCUCCUUUCCUCUGACGGUGCCGAGAUAAUUGUUAAAAAAAGCAAAGCGAGGGAAACCCCAGCGUAAGAUGAGUGCAAACGCCUCCCUUGUCGAUGUUUGAGAGCACAACGGUGAUGGGACCGAGAGUCGCGAGCAAAAACGACCUUUGUCCAUCUUGCCACAUUCGAGUCUCUGCAUGUAUACCUGAUUGUGCAUAAAAAUUAACCGCUCGACAUCCGCGAAGUACCAUACGCGGGUGUGCGUGUGUUGUGAGCAUGAGACUCAGAAUUUCCGUCCCAGCCGUCGUUGCACAGAAGCAACCGGGGACUGACAUUGGAAAUCAAUUCUUGAAAUCCUUCUUCAAACGAUGAACAAACAGGAAACUCUCGUUUUGAAUGUGCCCCGGCAUUCAUCUUCGGAACACAUGCACAAAAGAACCCCGAUUUCCCAGCUCGUCUCCUGUCC